CGGAGAGGGAGCAUGAGAAACGGCUACCACUUCUAAGGAAGGCAGCAGGCGCGCAAAUUACCCAAUCCUGACUCAGGGAGGUAGUGACAAGAAAUAACAAUAAACCGGCUUAUGCCGGUUUAAUUGGAAUGAGUACAAUUUAAACAUCUUAACGAGGAACAAUUGGAGGGCAAGUCUGGUGCCAGCAGCCGCGGUAAUUCCAGCUCCAAUAGCGUAUACUAAAGUUGUUGCAGUUAAAAAGCUCGUAGUUGGAUUUCUGCGGGGACGGAGCGGCCGGACGCAACUUGCGUCUCGAGCUAGCGCUUUCCCCGCAUCCUGCCGCGAACCGUGCUACCAUUAGUUUGGUGGCGCUGGGGAUCGGCUCGAUUACUUUGAGAAAAAUAGAGUGUUCAAAGCAGGCCACACGCCUUGAAUAAGUUAGCAUGGAAUAAUGACUAAGGACUUCGGUUCUAUUUUGUUGGUGUUCGGGACUGAAGUAAUGAUUGAUAGGGACAGUUGGGGCGGUCUGUAUUCCAAAGCGAGAGGUGAAAUUCUUAGACCUUCGGAAGACAAACAGCUGCGAAAGCGUUCCGCAAGGAUGUUCCCUUUGAUCAAGAACGAAAGUUGGGGGAUCGAAGACGAUCAGAUACCGUCGUAGUCUCAACUAUAAACUAUACCAGCUAGGGAUCGGUCAACGUUUAAUUAUUCGACUUGAUCGGCACCUUAUGAGAAAUCAAAGCAUCUGGGUUCCGGGGGGAGUAUGGUCGCAAGGCUGAAACUUAAAGGAAUUGACGGAAGGGCACCACCAGCCGUGGAGCCUGUGGCUUAAUUUGACUCAACACGGGAAAACUUACCAGGUCCGGACAUAGUAAGGAUUGACAGAUUGAUAGCUCUUUCUUGAUUCUGUGGGUGGUGGUGCAUGGCCGUUUUUAGUCGGUGGAUGUGAUCUGUCUGCUUAAUUGCGUUAACGGACGAGACCCCAGCCUGCUAAAUAGCGCGGCCGAGCUUUGCUCGGUGCGAGCUUCUUAGAGGGACCAUGAUGCGCGAUAGCACAAGGAAGUUUGGGGCAACAACAGGUCUGUGAUGCCCUUAGAUGUUCUGGGCCGCACACGGGCUACACUGGCGCCUGCAACGAGCAUAUCAGCUGGCCCGAGAGGGUCUUGGCUAAUCUUUGGAACCGGCGCCGUGCUUGGGAUUGACCAUUGCAAUUGUUGGUCAUGCAACGAGGAAUGCCUUGUAAACGCGAGUCAUCAGCUCGCAUUGAAUACGUCCCUGCCCUUUGUACACACCGCCCGUCGCUCCUACCGAUGAAUGUUCCGAUGAAAUUUUCGGAGAGCACCAGAGAACGGGGCUCUGCCUUGCAGAUCUGGAGGCUCAAAGUCACUUAAAUCUGAACAUUUCGAGGAAGGAGAAGUCGUAACAAGGUAACC
rnacentral:rRNA from 1 species